GAGCCACCUCGCCAGGACCUGACUGCAUUUUUAUCAUCAUCGAAGUGUUGUAUUAAAAUUUUCUUGAAUUGAUUGUUUUGAGAAGGAACACGCACAGAAGGCAAAAUUCAAAAGGUGUGACAUGGAAACGCUCCCUUGGGAUUGCUGGAUCAGGUGAGCAAACGCAGGUCAGGUAUCCAUCACAGGGUCUGUGUGCAGUGAGGCCUCAGCCAUUUUUCCUAAGCCAGAGCUUCUUCCAACAUCAUAUGCUGCCUGGAAAUUCUGAUGAAGGAACCGAAGAAUCUUCAAGGCGGAGGCUCCUAGCUCAGGACCUGGCAUAAAAUUAAGGAAAUGAACGUGAGAAACACUUUUGAAAUAGUGACAACACAUCCAGAUGAACAUUUUGCAGGACAGCUACACACCCGUUUUAGCUCACCAGCUACCAGUUGUGACUGUGCUCUGCUCUGGGAGAUGGCUUAGCUUUGCAUAGGACAAAAUUCUAAUCUAGUUUCGCGCAGUUCUUACGAAUUUGUUACAAUGAGACGGGCCAAGCUAUACAGCCCAUUGCGAUGAAU
rnacentral:lncRNA from 1 species